rnacentral:rRNA from 1 species
GACGAACGCUGGCGGCGUGCUAACACAUGCAAGUCGAACGGUAAGGCCCUUCGGGGUACGCGAGUGGCGAACGGGUGAGUAACACGUGGGUGAUCUGCCCUGCACUUCGGGAUAAGCCUGGGAAACUGGGUCUAAUACCGGAUAGGACCACUGCCUGCAUGGGUGGUGGUGGAAAGCUUUUGCGGUGUGGGAUGGGCCCGCGGCCUAUCAGAUUGUUGGUGGGGUGAUGGCCUACCAAGGCGACGACGGGUAGCCGGCCUGAGAGGGUGACCGGCCACACUGGGACUGAGAUACGGCCCAGACUCCUACGGGAGGCAGCAGUGGGGAAUAUUGCACAAUGGGCGCAAGCCUGAUGCAGCGACGCCGCGUGAGGGAUGACGGCCUUCGGGUUGUAAACCUCUUUCAGCACCGACGAAGCGCAAGUGACGGUAGGUGCAGAAGAAGGACCGGCCAACUACGUGCCAGCCGCCGCCGUAA